GCCCGUGCCCGUGCCCGUGCCGGUGCCCGUGCCAGGGCCGCCGCUCUGGGCUGUGGCGGUGGCAGCGGGCAGCGGAGGUGCCGCUGCGCUUCGGGCGUGCCGGCAGCGCUGGCAGGGCUGUCUGUCCCGCAGGGACCGGGGCCAGGAGGAGCUGUGACCCACAGAACUGGCGCCUCCAAGCCCUGGUCGGGAUCCGUGGGCUGGGCAGCAGCACCCCGGGGCAGCCCCACAACAGACGGGGCUCCAGAAGGUGUGAAGGGUAGUUGCGUGAUGUGAGCCCUCCGUGCUCAUCCCUCACCUUCCAGGGCUCCCAGCUGGGUUCUGGCCCUGGCCCCGGCCUGGCCUGGAGGGAAAAGUCCCUUCCUGCUGCCACAGUGGGCGAGCAGGCUGCUGACUGCUGCAGGGGAGAAAAGGCUGAAGCUGCCAGAAAAAAACUGUAAGGAGUAUGUUGCCAGGGCAACAGAGUGUAAGCAGGAGCACAGCACCUUGCAGAUCACAAAGGCAAAGCUGCAGAAAGACAUUUCAGCGAGUUUCUCUCUCCCCUUUGCAAUGGCCAGGCUGAAGAAGGAAGUAUGUGGAAAUCAAUCCUUGCAGGCCACAGAAUGGGAGGUGGGGGAAGUGAAAUGAAGUACAAAAGCCCUGGGUCAUCUCACUUCGGCUGAGGAAUUCCAGGAAAUCAGGAACAAAGGCUGACACCCGAGCUCAGCUGUGCUCUGGCACUGCAUGUGACAAGUCUCGCUGGCACCUGGAAACAGCAGAAUGUGUGGGUUUGGUGGGCUGAGAGACUCAGGAAAAGGACACGGUGAUGGGGGUUUGCAGCCUCAGCUGAGAAUGUCACAGUUUUGUAGUGUGGAUACAGGCUCACAGAUGUUACUGACAUGGAACUUUGCUUUAGGAGAUUUAUGUGUUCUGCAUUUUGAGAAAGAAUUACACGAAGUAAUAGUUAACAAUAUAUGUAAAAUAAUACAUUUAAUGAAUAUAAAAAUAGUAUUUAGCCAAGCAGUAUUCUCCAUACAGGAUUACAUUGUGGCAAACACUACUGGUUUUCUCUGAGUCAGCAUCCCCCAGUCACUGUGAAUGUGAGAUAUUCCUUGCACCAGGGUUUUAGAGAGCAGUAAAAACUGCCCUGAAGCACAUUGCAGAAAUGUCUAGAAGCCACCUCCAGGAGUGGGAGGUGGCUCUGCAGAGAGCAGACGGGGACAGUUGCGUGCAAGAGAGGGGAAAGGUUUGUUUGGAGGCUUGGGCAGGAGGCCCAUAACUCACGGCGUCCCUGUGUCACCAGCUCCGGAAUGUUCCCAGGCAUGUGGAAGCAUUAACAGUAACGCAGUGCUUGGAGUCUCACUGCCACUAAUGACUAAUCACGGCACAGACCAAAACUGCAGUUCUGAAGCCCAGUUAAAAUUCUGUUGUUUUCUCAAAAACCAGAUGAGCAUUUGGACCUGAGACAUCCAAAUUCAGGGCGUGAACUGUUCCUGGCUGCAGGAACAAGAGUGUAUGCUUCUGUGCACAGAGAGGUGAGCAAUUAAUGCUGUAUUGAUGUGUUCAGUUUAUUAAUAUUUGUUUAUAAACCAAGUCUAAGGACACUGUACCCUCACUAGCAACUUCAGCUUGGUUUUUAUAAUACUUGCACUGCUAAUCCUAAACAGUAGAGGAUCAGAUAAUCCUAUGGUAUAAAAAUUACUCAAGAUAAGUUUCUGCAAUAGAAUAAUGUACAUUUAAUACAUACAAUAUAGAAAGCAAUAAAAUGCCUUUUAUAUAAUGUUAUUUAUGCAAGUAUAUAGAAUUACUCAUCUGAAUGUGUAUGUAGAUUGAGGAGUUUAGGAA